rnacentral:rRNA from 1 species
AACGAACGCUGGCGGCAGGCCUAACACAUGCAAGUCGAACGUGAAGCCAUCUUCGGGUGGUGGAAAGUGGCAGACGGGUGAGUAACGCGUGGGAACGUGCCCUUCGGUUCGGGAUAACCCAGGGAAACUUGGGCUAAUACCGGAUACGCCCUUCGGGGGAAAGAUUCAUUGCCGAAGGAUCGGCCCGCGUCGGAUUAGCUAGUUGGUAGGGUAAUGGCCUACCAAGGCGACGAUCCGUAGCUGGUCUGAGAGGAUGACCAGCCACACUGGGACUGAGACACGGACCAGACUCCUACGGGAGGCAGCAGUGGGGAAUAUUGGACAAUGGGCGCAAGCCUGAUCCAGCCAUGCCGCGUGGGUGAAGAAGGCCUUAGGGUUGUAAACCCCUUUCAGCGGGGAAGAUAAUGACGGUACCCGCAGAAGAAGUCCCGGCUAACUCCGUGCCAGCCGCCGCCGUAAGAC